GGAUGCAGGACUUGACAAAGUUGAGUGAUGUCAAAAGGGAGAGAAAACUAGAUAAGGAUUCUGAUUAAUCACGCUGCACCUACAGUUAAAUCAGAGCUUUAUUCACUGCCCCUUCACACCCCAGCAGGAAGUACAGAGGCCAAUAUGUAGAUCUGAGUAGUCUGGAAUCCAGACUACUGGACCUCUGUCUGUACCAGUCACAUGAUCUUGCACCUCAGGUUUCUAUACUGAAAAAGUAGAACACUGGCCACUUCACAUUUUACAAGAGGUUGGGCUGGAGAGAUGGCUCAGAGGUUAAGAGCACUUGGUUGCUCUUCCAGAGGUCCCGAGGUCAAUUCCCAGCAACCACAUGGUGGCUCACAACCAUCCAUUAUGAGAUCUGGUGCCCUCUGCUGGUGUGCAGAUAUACAUGGAAGAAGAAUGUUGUAUACAUAAUAAAUAAAUAAAAUCUUUAAACACACACACACACAUUUUACAAGAGGCCUCCACAGAUCCAUUAUUCUCUAGCAACGUGAGGCGUCACCCACUCCCACUGACAGUGGGUACUGUGCCCUCUGUGUAGUGUGCAGCCUAAGAGGACAGGAAGAGGGAGGCCAUGGACAUUCCCUUCAAAUGUUGUAGAAGGAGCACACAAUUUAUACUAUAUUAUACUAUAUUUUACCACAAACUCCGUGGCUUGUUACCGCAUAUCUUGCUUCACCAGUGACUACAUGGUGUCUCCCUAGCGCUGCUUUUUUUUUUUUUUUAACUCCGUAACUCUGUUCAGAUUUCCCACCUAGCUAUAUUCUGUCUGACCAUUGGUCAAAACAGCUUUAGUCAUCAACCAAUAAAAGCAACACAUAUUCGCAGCAUACAGAAGGACAUCUGUUAUUACCAAUGGUCAGACAUCAUGCCAGUAGGACCUGGGAAUGUUUGGACAAAUUUGUAUUCACAGAGUUUGGGAUGAAUGUUUGGGGGACAUUGUGUCUGCUGCCCCCCUUAGCCUGGAACAUUGUUGUUCCUAGACACGGGUUUUUCUCCAUUUACCUAGGUUUAAGUGAAUCAAGGAAAGGGCCUUUCUGUCUAACCUAAUGGUUCUCAACCUGUCGGUCACAACCCCCAAAGACUACUGGAAAACACAUAUGUUUACAUUACAGUUCAUAACAGUGGCAAAAUUACAGUUAGGAAGUAGCAACAAAAUGAUUUUUUUGUUUGUUUGUGAAGACAGGGCUUCUCUGUGUAGGCCUGACUGUCCUGGAACUUGCUCGAUAGACCAGGCUGGCCUCGAAUUCAGAAUUCAAAGAUCCACCUGCCUCUGCCUCCAGAGUGCUUGGAUUAAAGGCAUCCAUCACCACUACAAGAUACAAUGAAAAUAAUGUUAUGGUUGGGAAAACCUCCUCACCUUUGGUCUCCUAAAAGUGCUGUGUUUGUUUUCAAAGCACUAAAGACCUGAUACACAUUUUACACCUGUGUGGGUUUAUUGUGUGCUUCUCCUACUAAAAUGCAAGCUUGAUGACUGUGUGUCUCUCAGUGUCAGUGCCUAGACAGACACCGGAUACACAGUGGAGCUUAGAGGAGUGUGUGGUUGAAGAAUCUGAUUACUGCUGCAUGUCCUUGAGGAUUGCAGUGGUUAUCACUGAUAGUUGCCCCAGCUCUUCUCCAAUACUGAGUUCAUGGUGAGCCUGCACUGCUGGCUCUCCUGUAUAGGGUGGUGUGUGACUUGUGAAUGGAUGUGACCAAGACUUUUAAAUGCCAGUGAGGAUCAUCAAGGCUUUCUUGAUUUCCUUCCAGCACAGGGACUGGCCAUAUUAGAUAUGGUGUCUGGGAUCUGCAUGAAUCCCUGGGUGACUCUUGUGCAAGUGCUCUGUCAUCCAGCAUAGGACACGUAGUAUGAGUGAUAAAGAAGUCUCUAUUGCCUAAAUUCAGUGAAAUAUGGGGCUUAUUUGUUACUGCAACAUAAUUUAACUUGUCCUGACUGACAUAGUAAUCCUUUGUACAGCUGCCAAUAUCCUCAAAGUUCCCUAAAACCUUCAGAGAUUUGGAGCAACUUCAAAUGCCUCAAAGCCAGAUAGAACCAAAGUAACCCCUUUAGAAAACCAGGCUAUGUCUGCCUUUCCUCUUUCUUUCCUGCUAGGGGAUGGGGGGUGGGAGAUAAUCUUGAAGUAACUCACUGAAGAGGGAAAACAGAAUGUUUUGGGACCACCUCUGAAGCGGCGUCAGACACUGACCUACUCAAAUUCACCACAAGCCUUCUCCUUGGUCAAAAAUGAAAAGCAGCAUGUUUUCUCUGUUGGAAUGAGUCACAUCUGGGAAAAGUGACCAGCUCUGAGCCAAGAUGAUCUAAGGACCAAAAAAAAAAAAAAAUCCCUCCCAGUAGAUGUUUCAGCAGAUGUGGUGAACCCUGCAGCACGGUGACCAAGGACAUAAUAGAAAAAAAUGCUGCUGCCCAGGCAUCCAAUGCCCAGGUGAUGUCCCUCUCCACAGGAACUAGAAGGGUGUUUUGUCUUUUUCACUUCUUCCCUGGAAGAGGGAGGGAGGAGAUGCUCUUUCAGGGUAGGAGAGGACUGGAUUGGGAAAGACUGGGGAGGUGAAUCCCACACCCGCUGAGGCUGGGGGACAGCCACCACCCACCCUGACCUCAAUGUUUUGUCUCAGGGAGAUGAAUCUUAAGAUAAACUUGAUAAAGCUUUGGGUGGGUCACAUGAAGCUAUACUAUCUCCAUUUCAUCUGACUCCAUACCAUUUCCCUAUCAGUGCUGGAAGCAGCCACCAUCACUCCACCAAAUCAGAGCCACCAGAAAACAUAACCAGAGCAUCUUCUGGGUAGCCCAACAGCUGGCAUGCCUGCACACUGUCCCAGCUGGAAGGCAACACACUCUACUGUCCCAGCCGAGAAGGCUGCACACCCUACUGUACCAACCAGCCUCAGUCACACACAGACAACACUGAUGCCCACCCAAAGGAUCCUUCCCAGCCAGGGAAUCAAGAACCAUGUUGCUUACACACCAAACUGUCACCCUGAACUCAAGAUGGGUCUCUGUCCUGGAUCUCACCUGGAACAUAGCACCCCUGAGAGGGACAAGUUUGAAACUUUGUGGAGAUGGAUGAAUGGAUGUUUCCACAGGGUGGAAACAAGCAAAUAUUACAUGCAAUACAGGUUUCUACAAGAAUCUUGAGAGGUGCUUACGGAAACACUGGAGAGGAGGAAUAAGAGGCUGCAAAAGCAGAAACCAGUGAAUGGAGUGAGGAGAGACCAGGAGCGUGCCCUCUGCUACCAACCAAGAAGGGAGGAGACUUUGAUUACCACCACCCUGGGGGAGAGGCCUUGGAGCAAGGAAGGCUGGGAAUUCCCAGGCCACUGGAUUUUUAGGAAUUGCCUGAAAAUUACCUUCAAGGGGAAAAGCGAAAGUGAGGAUUCCCCAACCAGACACUAGGGGGAGACCCAUCUCUGGCCUGGAAAGAACCCUGAGGAAUAAGGUGUAGACGGAUUUAUAGACAAUUCCAGGUCUGGUUUCCGAACUGACACCCACUGCAUACACACACCAUUGUCCCAUACUCCCACCUGAGGAUGCUCGGCUCUUUUAUAAAGUAGCUGAGUGUGUACAGAUAGCCUAUGCAUUUUCAGCCAUGUCUAUUUUCCUUGUGACACACGGUAGCGUGUAAGUGUAUAUGGAUCAUUGCUAUCCAAUAUUAUUUAAUGAAUAAUACCAAGAAAAAAUGUGUGCAUUUCAGUACAGGCAUAGUUUCCCCCUGAAUAUUUCCAUCAGUGAUUUGUUGAAACUCAAAAUGCAGAGUUUUUGGAUAUGGUGUAUUGAAAUCUAUUCCCAAAGUUGUUUGCUGGUGACUACUGCUAAAUUAAUUAAAACAAAGUUUGUGAUUUAAAGGGGAAAGCGUGAGCCCUAAGUCAGAACGACCCGAACUGAAAAGAGCAAUGGCGCCUGCAGCUUCAAAAACAGAUUGUAGAGGGCCCAGGGCCGUUGCUAGCCUACGACAGGACAUAGGUUCAAAAACCCAAGAGGCCUACAGGCCGACCUGUUCUCUCUCCCUUGAGAGAUGGGGCUGUGGACAGACCUGCUGCUAGUCAUUACCACUACUUAAAUUUUCAAGACCCAGUGCAUUAAAGAAUACGCCUGCUCGUUUGUUCAGGAAUUAGGACUUUCAAGAUGGUGGUGGCAGAACCUUAAGCCAGACAGGAACCUAUGGCGCACCCCUUGGUGCUGGUGGGAAGCGGACUUCUCCUCUCCACUCCCCAACCCCCACUCAGGUGAACCUUCCACACUAGGAAUGAAGCAGGUGUUUAGGGCAUCUACGUUUCCGCAGCGACUACACGGCAGGAAAGCCCCUGCCCUUCCAUGGGGCACAGCGAGUUCUCAGGAUCACCCAUCACCAGGGAUCAUCCAGGAUCACCAAUCACCCUAACCCCCG
rnacentral:lncRNA from 1 species